CUUGUUUAGUGGGAUGUUGACUGAAAAGAAACAAGCAGUGAGUAUUCCUGUCAUCGGGGCCUAAAAUAUUAAAAUUUGAAAUGCUGUUUUGAAGGAUGGACGCUGAGCAGAAGAUAAAACCAACAUUCAAGAGUGUAGGGAAGAACAUUGCCAGCGUCGAUAUAUGGUUAAACAAAUCUUUAAAUGAAAAUGACACAAAGGAAAAACAACAGAAAAAGACACAAACGUUUGUUAGCAGUGGAUUGGAGAAACCAAACAAACUUAUACAAGGGAUGAUCGUAUCUAAACGAGAUGACACAGGGGAG